GGUGUUGUGGUCAUCAUCAUACUUGCCAGUGCCAUUGCCUUUUUAUUGCUAGUGCUAGGUGCUAUUGUUCUAAACAAGAAACUGAAGGCAAGAAAAGGAAGGAAUCUCAAAGAAAAGAACUUUAAGAAGAACCAUGGUUUGCUACUACAGCAAUUGGUUGAUAAAGAUAUCUCUGAAAAGAUAUUGUUUAGUCUGGACGAGCUAGAGAAGGCAACGAACAACUUUGACGAGACCUGAAAGAUUGGUAGGGGUGGACAUGGCACAGUUUACAAGGGCAUAUUGUUGAAUCAACAGGUUGUCGCUGUGAAAAAAUCCAAUCUCACUGUACAAAGCGAGAUCGACGGCUUCAUUAAUGAGGUAGCUGUUCUUUCCACAAUAAAUCAUCGCAAUAUCAUUCAAUUGGUUGGGUGUUGCCUCGAGACAGUAUGCCCAAUGCUGGUCUAUGAGUUUGUUUCAAACGGGACACUCUCACAACAUCUUCAUGUUGAGGGUCCUCAAGCGCUAAGCUGGAGAGACCGCCUCAACAUUGCUGUUGCAGUAGCGAAUGCUCUAACAUAUUUGCACUCAUCUUCAUCAAUAUCAAUAGUGCACAGAGACAUAAAGACAGAUAAUAUCUUGCUUGAUGACUGCCUAACCCCAAAAGUAUCGGAUUUUGGUACUUCCAGACAGAUACCAAUUGACAAAACAGGGGUUACAACAGGUGUCCAAGGCACGUUCGGGUACCUUGACCUUGAGUAUUAUCAUACACACUGAUUAACUGAAAAAUUGGAUGUCUAUAGCUUCGGGGCAGUGCUUGUCGAGCUACCGACGAGAAAGAAACCGUUCUUAUUCCUGUCAUCGGCGCAGAUAGGUCUGGUCUCACAUUUUAAUUCACUGAUUACUUUGGACAAAGUAUGUGAAAUUUUGGACCCACAGGUUAUGCUGGAGGCUGGGAAAGAUGCCGAAACAGUUACAGGACUAGCUGCAACCUGCUUAGCUCAGAAAGGGGAUGAGAGGCCAACAAUGCGACAACUUGAGACAAGGUUACGAGAGUUGCUAGCAACUAGGAGGAACAAUAACAUCAACAAUAAAAAUGUCUCGGAGCAAAACAACGUCAGCAGAGAACUAUUUGCAGCAUAG
rnacentral:rRNA from 1 species